rnacentral:rRNA from 1 species
GGACUACCAGGGUAUCUAAUCCCGUUCACUCCCCUAGCUUUCGUGCCUCAGCGUCAGAAAAGGCCCAGUGUGCCGCUUUCGCUGCUGGCGUUCCUUCCGAUCUCUACACAUUUCACCGCUCCACCGGAAGUUCCACACACCCCUACCUCACUCAAGUCAUCCAGUAUCACGCGCAGUUUUCCGGUUGAGCCGGAAGAUUUCACACGUGACUUAGAUAACCGCCUACGCACCCUUUAAGCCCAGUGAUUCCGAAUAACGUUCGCACAGUUCGUAUUACCGCGGCUGCUGGCAC